GUUCCAAUGGCAAUCCUUGUCGGCAUGAACCUUACCACAUCUGGAACAUUUAUUGAUAUUCAUCUGCUUAGGGUUGUCACUCGCUGAUUUCUUGUUUGAACUCUCGGCGUUUUCAUUGCUCUGCCCCUGAAAUUCAUUUGACCUGUUCCUCUUCUUUUGAUUCCUUUCCCUUUCCAACCGUUCAUCAUUAACUUUCCUUUCAAUUAUUAAAGCCUUAUUUACCACAGCUGCAUAAGUAGUCAAUUCAUAAGGUACC
rnacentral:lncRNA from 1 species